CACCUCUCAGCGCGUGCGGGAGCGCUCAGUGUGAAAGAUGCUGCCGCUGGGUUCAGACGCGGGUCAGAUGCUCGGCUGUCCUGUGAUAUGGAGACCGUGGGAUCUUUCAACAAGAGAGACGCAAUUAAAUAAAGUGGUUUCUGGAGG